rnacentral:rRNA from 3 species
GUAGUCAUAUGCUUGUCUCAAAGAUUAAGCCAUGCAUGUCUAAGUAUAAGCAAUCUAUACCGUGAAACUGCGAAUGGCUCAUUAAAUCAGUUAUCGUUUAUUUGAUAGUACCUUACUACUUGGAUAACCGUGGUAAUUCUAGAGCUAAUACAUGCUAAAAACCUCGACUUCGGAAGGGGUGUAUUUAUUAGAUAAAAAACCAAUGCCCUUCGGGGCUCCUUGGUGAUUCAUAAUAACUUAACGAAUCGCAUGGCCUUGUGCCGGCGAUGGUUCAUUCAAAUUUCUGCCCUAUCAACUUUCGAUUGUAGAGUAGUGGUCUACAAUGGUUUCAACGGGUAACGGGGAAUUAGGGUUCUAUUCCGGAGAGGGAGCCUGAGAAACGGCUACCACAUCCAAGGAAGGCAGCAGGCGCGCAAAUUACCCAAUCCCGACACGGGGAGGUAGUGACAAUAAAUACUGAUACAGGGCUCUUUUGGGUCUUGUAAUUGGAAUGAGUACAAUUUAAAUCCCUUAACGAGGAACAAUUGGAGGGCAAGUCUGGUGCCAGCAGCCGCGGUAAUUCCAGCUCCAAUAGCGUAUAUUAAAGUUGUUGCAGUUAAAAAGCUCGUAGUUGAACCUUGGGCCUGGCUGGCCGGUCCGCCUCACCGCGUGCACUGGUCCGGCCGGGUCUUUCCUUCUGAGGAGCCGCAUGCCCUUCACUGGGUGUGUCGGGGAAUCAGGACUUUUACUUUGAAAAAAUUAGAGUGUUCAAAGCAGGCCUAUGCUCGAAUACAUUAGCAUGGAAUAAUAGAAUAGGACGUGUGGUUCUAUUUUGUUGGUUUCUAGGACCGCCGUAAUGAUUAAUAGGGAUAGUCGGGGGCAUCAGUAUUCAAUUGUCAGAGGUGAAAUUCUUGGAUUUAUUGAAGACUAACUACUGCGAAAGCAUUUGCCAAGGAUGUUUUCAUUAAUCAGUGAACGAAAGUUAGGGGAUCGAAGACGAUCAGAUACCGUCGUAGUCUUAACCAUAAACUAUGCCGACUAGGGAUCGGGCGAUGUUAUCUUUUUGACUCGCUCGGCACCUUACGAGAAAUCAAAGU